rnacentral:ncRNA from 1 species
UAGGUACAGUUUUGUUUAAAAGGGAAAAUGGUUAAAAUCCAUUACAGCCCCCGCUACUGUAUGCGAAUACAAGUCUCGUUACCACUGGAAAAUUUUCUGGGAAGGUGAGAUAAGGUUAAGUCGUGAGUCAGGAGACCUGCCUAAAAUUAUA